AUUCUACAUGUCAAUACCGGCAACAAUGAAAUUUAUAGUAAGAGGAAAA
rnacentral:tRNA from 9 species